rnacentral:rRNA from 1 species
GAGUUUGAUCCUGGCUCAUGACGAACGCUGGCGGCGUGCUUAACACAUGCAAGUCGAACGGUAAGGCCCCAGCUUGCUGGGGUACACGAGUGGCGAACGGGUGAGUAACACGUGGGUGACCUGCCCCGCACUUCGGGAUAAGCCUGGGAAACUGGGUCUAAUACCGGAUAGGACCGCACCGUGAGGGUGUGGUGGAAAGUUUUUCGGUGUGGGAUGGGCCCGCGGCCUAUCAGCUUGUUGGUGGGGUAAUGGCCUACCAAGGCGGCGACGGGUAGCCGGCCUGAGAGGGUGGACGGCCACAUUGGGACUGAGACACGGCCCAGACUCCUACGGGAGGCAGCAGUGGGGAAUAUUGCACAAUGGGCGGAAGCCUGAUGCAGCGACGCCGCGUGGGGGAUGACGGCCUUCGGGUUGUAAACUCCUUUCACCAUCGACGAAGGUUUUCUGACGGUAGAUGGAGAAGAAGCACCGGCUAACUACGUGCCACCAGCCGCCGUAAUACGUACGGUGCGAGCGUCGUACGGAAUUACUGGGCGUAAAGAGCUCCUAGGUGGUCCGUCCAGUCCUCUGCCACAUUCCGGGGCUUAACUCCGGGCGUGCAGGCGAUACGGGCAUAACUUGAUACUGUAGGGGAGACUGAAUUCCUGGGGUAGCGGUGAAAUGCGCAGAUAUCAGGAGGAACACCGGUGGCGAAGGCGGUUCUCUGGGCAGUAACUGACGCUGAGGAGCGAAAGCAUGGGUAGCGAACAGGAUUAGAUACCCUGGUAGUCCAUGCCGUAAACGGUGGGCGCUAGGUGUAGGGGUCUUCCACGACUUCUGUGCCGUAGCUAACGCAUUAAGCGCCCCGCCUGGGGAGUACGGCCGCAAGGCUAAAACUCAAAGGAAUUGACGGGGGCCCGCACAAGCGGCGGAGCAUGUGGAUUAAUUCGAUGCAACGCGAAGAACCUUACCUGGGCUUGACAUAUACGGGACCGGGCCAGAGAUGGUCCUUCCCUUGUGGCUCGUAUACAGGUGGUGCAUGGUUGUCGUCAGCUCGUGUCGUGAGAUGUUGGGUUAAGUCCCGCAACGAGCGCAACCCUUGUCUUAUGUUGCCAGCACGUAAUGGUGGGGACUCGUGAGAAACUGCCGGGGUCAACUCGGAGGAAGGUGGGGAUGACGUCAAAUCAUCAUGCCCCUUAUGUCCAGGGCUUCACACAUGCUACAAUGGUCGGUACAGUGGGUUGCGAUGCCGUGAGGUGGAGCUAAUCCCUGAAAGCCGGUCUCAGUUCGGAUCGGGGUCUGCAACUCGACCCCGUGAAGUCGGAGUCGCUAGUAAUCGCAGAUCAGCAACGCUGCGAAGAAUACGUUGCCCGGGCCUGUACACAC